GUGAUUGGUCAGACAGUGGUAGCGUAUCUAGUCUAUGUAUAUCUAUGGUCUGAACGUCUGUUAGCAUCUCUGGCUGCUGUUGACCUUAUUUUUGGAGUAAAACACGUGGAAGCUGAAUUAGUGAGGAUGACUCCUGCUCCUGUCAUCUCUAAGCUCCUCCCACAUCUUUACCUGCACAUGAGGAAAAUCACUCCUGUAGAAUGCAGAUGUUCAGAGGGAGAUGAUGCCACAUCUGGUCCAGCUGAUGGAAGGUCUUGAAGUUCUCUGACUGGCCUCGACUGAAGAUGGUCGUCUCACUGGAUUUAAGGUUCAGAUGCUCAGUAACAAACUCCACCAAUGAGCCAACAGGGAAGCUUUAGGUUUAUUAAAUGUUGCUAUGAAGGUUUCACUGUUUUUCUUUGUGAAUGCAAUGAGCUCCAACUGAAAGUUGAAUUAGAACUUAGAAGUAAAUCCUUCCAUCUGAAAGGAUUUAGUUGCAUUAAUAACCUCAUAACAUUCUAAUUUUUAUUCCAGUCUUGGUUGGAAAUAGAAUCUCUGUAUUGAUUCAGGUAAAAACUGAACUUCACAGCAUGUUGGAGCAAAACAACCAGAUGAAAACUGUGAUGGUGUUGGAUUGUCAGACUGUAAUGUUGCAGCUCAAAGCAGCUUUUCUAUCUCAGUUCAUUCUGACAUUCAGCUAUGAAUCAACACAGCAGAUGGUGAUCCAUGCUGUGGAAGUCUCACAUCUCCUGAUUUAAUGGAGCUGCUUUGCACUUUUUACACUGUUUAUUCACCAACACUUUAUUUAAUAAAAGUCCCAUCUAGUUUUUAUGAGGAAUGUGAUGUUUUAAUUUCUCUGUGAAUAACUGCAGUCUAAUGGAACAGCUGAAACUGUAACAUCUGUCCUGAUAUUGAUCAUGAAGUAUUGAUCAGAAUACUUAUGGUCAGCAGUCAUCCCUGAAGUUUUACAUUCAAAUCAUUACUUGUGUUGUGAACUUUGGUAAGAAGCAGAAACUUUAGCGUUGCCAUGGAUACAUGAGUGUUAAAUUCUGUCCAUGUUUCCAUUUUGGGAAAUUCAGUCCAGCAGAUCAGUUUGUUUUUACUGCCAGCUACAUUCAGUCUGAGAUAUUAAGAAUAAAUAAAUGUGCAUAAUGUGGAAAUGAACAGAUUCUAUUUUUAUUUAUUCCUACAGAUGCUGCAGGUAAAGUUAUAGAAUGUGGAGGAAUUUAGUCUCACAAUCACAGACAAUAAAUAUUAUCUGAAAGUCGGAUUAUUGUUGUUUAUCAGCACAAUACAAAAAGAUUCAUGUUAGAAAUAUUCCAGUUAAGACUCUAGAAUAUCAGGAUUUAUGUAAAUUUACCUCAAUAAUAUGAAUGUUCAGGUUGUGCAGUGAUAUUUAUUAUGUGAGUUUAGCUGAUUAAAGUUUAUUAUUUAAAUUGACAUCAUUAUUAUAAUAUUUAAGGUCAGACUCUACAGUAUUGAGAUUAAGAAAUCAAAUAUUCUAUAAAAUGUAAAUACACUGAACUCAUUUGGAGAUAUUUAAGUGAGACUCUACAAUAUUAUUUAUGACACAAAUCUAUCUAAAUCAACAUUUUAAUCAUUUUUACUCCAAACAUUUACUGGACUGAUUUGAAUAUUAAAAUCACUCCUUUCUAAUCCUCUGCUGUACGUUCAAACCUGAGGCCUUAAAUAGAAACACACAAGUAUCUGAUUGAAGGAACUUCUGCAGAGUCCUGGUUCCACAACAUGAUGAUAGAAUUAUAGACAAACUUCAACAAAAGCUGCCUGAGAGUUUACAGCUUUUUAUGUUGGAUUUCUUCAGUAAUUUAAUGAGAGUUAUCAGCAAAAAUCAAGUGUUCAUUUGAUGAACUUCAUUUCUUAAAACAUCCAGAAUUGGAGCUCAUAUCUUUGGCAGCUGUAAAGUUUCUGCUCCUUCAAAGUUCACAACACAAUAAAUGAAUUCCUAAAACACUCUCAAUGCUGGAGAGCUUUUGAUGCUGAAGCAGUGACCAGUUUUUCUGUUUCUUCUCUGGAGAUGCACAAUGAGGGACGUCUGCAGAGACUGAGAAAGAGUCUCACCACAUCCUGACAUGAGGAAAAAGACUUUAUUGAAGACUACAAUGAGAAAAACUAUCAGACAGCAGACGGCUGCAUUCAAGGCUACAGGAGGAGUCCUACGAGGACGAGCUGGUCCACCUGAUGGUGGCCAGUCGCUGCGGUUCAAAGCCAACACCGACUACGUGGACUUCUACUGGACCACACGGAGGCCUUCAAACCGGACCAACAAGUUCAGCGACUCCCCGACUCGUGGGUCUGAGGACGCCGCCGAGCCUCGGUCCAGCCGGCCUCCUGUCUGUGGGUGUUUGAGUGCUGAGAGGUUUGUGGAUGCAUGUGAACGUUCUGUGUUGAAACAGCAGCUUUGGACUCAGUAACGCCGGGAAAAACCAAG
ensembl:lncRNA